rnacentral:rRNA from 1 species
AUUGAACGCUGGCGGCAGGCCUAACACAUGCAAGUCGAACGAGUGGCGGACGGGUGAGUAAUGUCUGGGAAACUGCCUGCUGGAGGGGGAUCACUACUGGCAACGGUAGCUAAUACCGCAUACCAUCGGAUGUGCCCAGAUGGCAUUAGCUCUUAGGUGGGGUAAAGGCUCACCUAGGCGACGAUCCCUAGCUGGUCUGAGAGGAUGACCAGACACACGGGAAAUGAGACACGGUCCAGACUCCUAUGGGAGGCAGCAGUGGGGAAUAUUGCACAAUGGGCGAAAGCCUGAUGCAGCCAUGCCGCGUGUAUGAAGAAGGCCUUCGGGUUGUAAAGUACUUUCAGCGGGGAGGCGUUACCCGCAGAAGAAGCACCGGCUAACUCCGUGCCAGCAGCCGCGGUAAUAC